UCGAUACAUCACACUUUGUGUGGAGAAACCAAUAUAAAACUAUGGGGGGCCAUGGCCCCACCACUUCCCAAUAAUCUAUUAUCCGAUACUAAAAAAAUAACCUCUCAACAUUUAUUUAGUAUUAUCGACCCCCUCUAAAAAAUAUUUGUGUGUAAUUGACCCUUAGAAUACAAUGUCUAGGUUACGCAGCUAUAACAAAUCCACAUAUAUUCCCUACCAAAAUAUCCGCAAUUUGAAUUACUAAUGAGAGUUUAAACGAGAAGCCGACCGACACAGGUCCGCUAAACAAGACUCUUAUAAAUAAGUUGUCUUUUUCUAGGCCAUGCAGAGAUCGUCGACGAGGCGAAAUAGACGAUACAAGAUUGUGUCGCCAAGUUCAUUAGAUUCUCCUCUCGCUGCUUGCCGCUCACCUGGAUCGGCUGUCACCAUCACCACCUCCAGCGCUGCUGUCGAUUCAUUUAAGCAAGCUAGACAAAACGCACAAAACAAGUACAAAAUGAGUAAAUUAAAUAGGUCAUCUAUACUUAUUUGUAUUCUUUUGUUGUUUGCAAGUGAUUGAGUGUAGUAAAAAAAAUAUGAGGUUCUCUUGCUUUUUACAUAAUUUGUUGACUAUGGAACGAAAAGGCCAACUUUAUUACUAAUACCAAAACAAAUUGUAGAAUAUAUAUAUUUUCUUAGUCAUUAACAGAAAACCGACAUACAUAUUAGUGGAUUCUAAUUGUAAACAUCAGUGAUGCAUUGGAAUUUUGUAAUACAUAAUUUGUUUAAUG
rnacentral:lncRNA from 1 species